rnacentral:misc_RNA from 1 species
AUUUUUGUUGUGAAGGUAUUUGUCAAUAAAAGAAUUAGUUCUUGAAGUAUAGUUCUUCUGUGCUUGAAGGGUGUGAUUGUUGAUUUAUGGGAAAAAGUAGGAUUAUUAAACAUUGAUGCUUAAUUCUGUACAUGGAACCUUGUUGCAUCAAUAUAAUUAUCAUUUAUUGGGAAACCACACUUGAUUUUGCAUUUUAAAAUCACACAAAAAAUAUAAUGAUCAAUUUGCUGUAGCUGGCAGGAACAGCACCAUGAAUUUUCAAUUUUUGGGCAUCAUUGUAAAUCAACCAUUGUCACCCUCUUUAUUAUAUAUUCAUUUGAGCUAGAGCACCUACUGCCAUUUCUGCUUAUUAUGGCAUAAUUGAAGCAACCUACUAACACCAACCAGCUGCCUUGACUAGAUAUUGCUAGUGUUGCUAAGCAGUGAGAACCCUCCAAUUUGGACCCAAACGUCUUCUCAAAACUACUAUUGCUGCUCAAAUGAAUCCUUUUAACACUAAUAUUGACAAUCCAAACUUCAUUAGAUCACUGUUUUGUUGUCUUCCAAAUAAUGGAUAUCAAGUUCUACAUAUACUCCAGUUUUUUUGAGUCAGAAGUCUUGGUGCAUGUGCCAAUUCUCAAACUAAAUUUUAUUUAUAUGAUCUUAUGUUCUGGCAAUUUUAUUCACUAAUGUUGUUAUUGAAUGCUGAAUUUUCCUUUUGACUACGGCAUUAUUAGAUAACAGUGAUAUCAAAACAUAAGCGUGUCUGCGCGCACACACACACACACGCACGCACAAACACAAACAUUUGCUUUGGGCUUUUAUUUUCUUCUUUUCGUGUGUAUGUUUUUAUUGGCAGAAUCAUCCUCAAAACAAGUUUUUCUUUUUUUCCUUUUGAGAAUUAUAGUUUGCAAUGAAAUUGUUAAUAAAACAAGAAAAAAGCAGGUUUGGUCCUUCAAAAGCUAUUAGCUUUCUCAUUUAUUCCCCCCUCCCCUCUCCUUUUUUUCUGCUUUUAGUUUUAAUUAUUGUUGAAGGGAAAAUACUGGUAGUAUUAAGAUAUACAUUUGUCCUCGCUUAUCAUUAUCUUCACGGCUUGCUUGCAAGGAAGCUUGGCUUCUUUUCAUGCGCUAAUUCCAAGAUGUGUUAGUAACUCAUUUGCCAUCCGUGGCUUCAUUUUCUUUGGACAUAGUUUUGGCUCUUUAUAUAGUGCUUAGCAUGUCAUUUUUUAAUGGAAUAUGUUUUGUUAUUUAUCUUAUGCUUUUCACUUUUUAGUUGUUUGGUCUCCCAUGAUAUCCCACUUUGAACUACCACUAGUACAUUGUGUUGAUGAUAUAGUGGAAUUAGAGGAUUUCGUGUUGUCUUGUUCUUAGGCACUAUGUUUCUCAAGAAGCUUAAAGCGUAUUUGUUUGCUCUUAGGAUAACGUUAUCUCCACUCCUG